rnacentral:rRNA from 1 species
AACGACUGCUAAUACCGCAUGAUGUCUACGGACCAAAGUGGGGGACCUUCGGGCCUCACGCCAUAAGAUUAGCCCAAGUGGGAUUAGCUAGUUGGUGAGGUAAUGGCUCACCAAGGCGACGAUCCCUAGCUGGUUUGAGAGGAUGAUCAGCCACACUGGGACUGAGACACGGCCCAGACUCCUACGGGAGGCAGCAGUGGGGAAUAUUGCACAAUGGGCGCAAGCCUGAUGCAGCCAUGCCGCGUGUGUGAAGAAGGCCUUCGGGUUGUAAAGCACUUUCAGUAAGGAGGAAAGGUUAAGUGUUAAUAGCACUUAGCUGUGACGUUACUUACAGAAGAAGCACCGGCUAACUCCGUGCCAGCAGCCGCGGUAAUACGGAGGGUGCGAGCGUUAAUCGGAAUUACUGGGCGUAAAGCGUACGCAGGCGGUUUGUUAAGCGAGAUGUGAAAGCCCCGGGCUCAACCUGGGAACUGCAUUG